rnacentral:rRNA from 1 species
UACAGAGGGGGGCAAGCGUUAUUCGGAAUUAUUGGGCGUAAAGGGCGCGUAGGCGGCUCUGCACGUCCGUUGUGAAAUCGCCCGGCUCAACUGGGAGGGUGCGCCGAAUACUGAGUGACUCGAGUGCGGGAGAGGAAAGUGGAAUUCCUGGUGUAGCGGUGAAAUGCGUAGAUAUCAGGAGGAACACCGGUGGUGUAGACGGCUUUCUGGACCGUAACUGACGCUGAAACACGAAAGCGUGGGUAGCAAACAGG